rnacentral:rRNA from 1 species
CAAACUCCUACGGGAGGCAGCAGUAGGGAAUCUUCCACAAUGGACGCAAGUCUGAUGGAGCAACGCCGCGUGAGUGAAGAAGGCUUUCGGGUCGUAAAACUCUGUUGUUGGAGAAGAAUGGUCGGCAGAGUAACUGUUGUCGGCGUGACGGUAUCCAACCAGAAAGCCACGGCUAACUACGUGCCAGCAGCCGCGGUAAUACGUAGGUGGCAAGCGUUAUCCGGAUUUAUUGGGCGUAAAGCGAGCGCAGGCGGUUUUUUAAGUCUGAUGUGAAAGCCCUCGGCUUAACCGAGGAAGCGCAUCGGAAACUGGGAAACUUGAGUGCAGAAGAGGACAGUGGAACUCCAUGUGUAGCGGUGAAAUGCGUAGAUAUAUGGAAGAACACCAGUGGCGAAGGCGGCUGUCUGGUCUGUAACUGACGCUGAGGCUCGAAAGCAUGGGUAGCGAACAGGAUUAGAUACCCUGGUAGUCCAUGCCGUAAACGAUGAAUGCUAGGUGUUGGAGGGUCUCCGCCCUUCAGUGCCGCAGCUAACGCAUUAAGCAUUCCGCCUGGGGAGUACGACCGCAAGGUUGAAACUCAAAGGAAUUGACGGGGGCCCGCACAAGCGGUGGAGCAUGUGGUUUAAUUCGAAGCAACGCGAAGAACCUUACCAGGUCUUGACAUCUUUUGAUCACCUGAGAGAUCAGGUUUCCCCUUCGGGGGCAAAAUGACAGGUGGUGCAUGGUUGUCGUCAGCUCGUGUCGUGAGAUGUUGGGUUAAGUCCCGCAACGAGCGCAACCCUUAUGACUAGUUGCCAGCAUUUAGUUGGGCACUCUAGUAAGACUGCCGGUGACAAACCGGAGGAAGGUGGGGAUGACGUCAAAUCAUCAUGCCCCUUAUGACCUGGGCUACACACGUGCUACAAUGGAUGGUACAACGAGUUGCGAGACCGCGAGGUCAAGCUAAUCUCUUAAAGCCAUUCUCAGUUCGGACUGUAGGCUGCAACUCGCCUACACGAAGUCGGAAUCGCUAGUAAUCGCGGAUCAGCACGCCGCGGUGAAUACGUUCCCGGGCCUUGUACACACCGCCCGUCACACCA